AAAUGAAUCUAUGAAUCUUCCAGAGCAAGGAGGAGGGCAGCAUAUUCUAAGACCAUCCCCAAUAUGGCAGAAGAGUACUUGUUAUAAGGAAACAAGAAUGGAGGGCUCCACUGCGAAAGACCUAAGGUGAUCAGAAAUGUCAGAGUGGUGCUUGAAGAUACCACUUACUAACGUUCAAUGAUCUGAUUGAUCUAAGUUCAGGAGGUAGAGUUCAAUGUGAGAAACCAAGUGACCAAGGAACAGACAAAGCAGAUUAGACCACCCCACCCUAAAGUGUGGUAGAGGAUAGAGCUUAGCUCUACUACAUAAUUCAGGAACUAAAGCUGGACAGAAAGAAGAUACAGGGAUAAAACCUGUACUUUUAUUGCUAAAGGGAACUCCCAGGUGAAGAUAUUUCGUCUACCAAAGCAGGUCUGAAAUUCCAUGAAAAGGCCAGAUAAAGAAGAUCAGGGAAAAAAAGAUAAACAGGAAACAGUCAUAUAAAGGAGAAAACAUGGUAUAAUGGGAGCAUAUCGAUGGUGUCAAGAGACUUAGAUUCUAGUCCAACUUUAUGAGUCACAUAAGAAAAAUGGAUAUCAUUGCAUUAUAAUCACAUCUCAUUUUUAUUAGAAACAUCAAAUCAUUCUCUUUGUAUACUGAUACUCAUAUAAACUUUAGACAAUAAUUCUUGU